UACGGAGGGUGCAAGCGUUAUCCGGAUUCACUGGGUUUAAAGGGUGCGUAGGCGGAUAAGUAAGUCAGUGGUGAAAUCUCCGAGCUUAACUCGGAAACUGCCGUUGAUACUAUUUGUCUUGAAUAUUGUGGAGGUAAGCGGAAUAUGUCAUGUAGCGGUGAAAUGCUUAGAUAUGACAUAGAACACCAAUUGCGAAGGCAGCUUACUUCACAAUGAUUGACGCUGAGGCACGAAAGCGUGGGGAUCAAACAGG
rnacentral:rRNA from 1 species